CCGACUCAUCGGCUGGCUUAGCCUUGGUGCACCACAGCGCAACGCGCUCCCUCCGCCGGCCGGACCCAGCCAAGCGAGUCGUGCCGGCGGAUUUGGUUCUACUCGCGUUAAUCUGGAGCAAGGUCUCCUUUUUCAUCCACAGAUUGCUGCAGUAUUACAACACAUCCGAACCCACAAACCGACCCUUUUUAUCUAGAGCCCAGCGCCAUUAUAGACAGACCGAGCCCCUUCCGGCGCCGAAGGUGAUAUAUCGCAAGUUGCCAGGACCAGAGUGGAGCCUGCCUGUGCCACUCAUCACCUGGGGCCGGGGCUACGCAGCAGUGUCAACUGAAACCGGCCCUGUGUGGGUUCCCGCUCGCUUUGUGAAGCCGUGGAGAGAUGGCCUGGC